rnacentral:lncRNA from 1 species
UUUUUGCGUUCUCUUUCCCUCUCCCAACAUGGCGGCCUCAGCAAAAAAGAAGAAUAAGAAGGGGAAGACUAUCUCCCUAACAGACUUUCUGGCUGAGGAUGGGGGUACUGGUGGAGGAAGCACCUAUGUUUCCAAACCAGUCAGCUGGGCUGAUGAAACGAUGACCUGGAAGGAGAUGUUUCGACAACUUGGCACAGUAACAAUGACGAUGUGUAUAGGGUGCCUCCAAUUGACCGUUCCAUCCUUCCCACUGCUCCACGGGCUGCUCGGGAACCCAAUAUCGACCGGAGCCGUCUUCCCAAAUCGCCACCCUACACUGCUUUUCUAGGAAACCUACCCUAUGAUGUUACAGAAGAGUCAAUUAAGGAAUUCUUUCGAGGAUUAAAUAUCAGUGCAGUGCGUUUACCACGUGAACCCAGCAAUCCAGAGAGGUUGAAAGGUUUUGGUUAUGCUGAAUUUGAGGACCUGGAUUCCCUGCUCAGUGCCCUGAGUCUCAAUGAAGAGUCUCUAGGUAACAGGAGAAUUCGAGUGGAUGUUGCUGAUCAAGCACAGGAUAAAGACAGGGAUGAUCGUUCUUUUGGCCGUGAUAGAAAUCGGGAUUCUGACAAAACAGAUACGGACUGGAGGGCUUGUCCUGCUACAGACAGCUUUGAUGACUAGAAGAGGUGAUGAUAGCUUUGGAGACAAGUAUCGGGAUCGUUAUGAUUCAGACCGGUAUCGGGAUGGGUAUCGGGAUGGCCCACGCCGGGAUAUGGAUGGAUAUGGUGGCCGGGAUCGCUAUGAUGACCAAGGCAGCAGAGACUAUGAUAGAGGCUAUGAUUCCCGGAUAGGCAGUGGCAGAAGAGCAUUUGGCAGCGGGUAUCGCAGGGAUGAUGACUACAGAGGAGGCGGGGACCGCUAUGAAGACUGAUAUGACAGACGGGAUGAUCGGUCGUGGAGCUCCAGAGAUGAUUACUCUCGGGAUGAUUAUAGGUGUGAUGAUAGACGUCCCCCCCAAAGACCCAAACUGAAUCUAAAGCCUUGGAGUACUCUUAAGCAAGAUGAUUCCUCUGCUAGUACCUCCCAGUCCACUCGAGCUGCUUCUAUCUUUGGAGGGGCAAAGCCUGUUGACACAGCUGCUAGAGAAAGAGAAGUAGAAGAACGGCUACAGAAGGAACAAGAGAAGUUGCAGCGUCAGCUGAGUGAGCCAAAACUAGAACGACGGCCUCGGGAGAGACACCCAAGCUGGCGAAGUGAAGAAACUCAGGAACGGGAACGGUCAAGGACAGGAAGUGAGUCAUCGCAGACUGGGACCUCCACCACAUCUGGCAGAAAUGCACGAAGGAGAGAGAGUAAGAAGUCUCUAGAAAAUGAAACACUCAAUAAGGAGGAAGAUUGCCACUCUCCAACUUCUAAACCUCCCAAACCUGAUCAGCCCCUAAAGGUAAUGCCAGCCCCUCCACCAAAGGAGAAUGCUUGGGUGAAGCGAAGUUCUAACCCUCCUGCUCGAUCUCAGAGCUCAGACGCAGAGCAGCAAUCCCCUACAAGUGGUGGGGGAAAAGUAGCUCCAGCUCAACCAUCUGAGGAAGGACCAGCAAGGCAAGAUGAAAAUAAAGUAGAUGGGAUGAAUGUCCCAAAAGGCCAAACUGGGAACUCUAGCCGUGGUCCAGGAGACGGAGGGAACAAAGACCACUGGAAGGAGUCAGAUAGGAAAGAUGGCAAAAAGGAUCAAGACUCCAGAUCUGCACCUGAGCCAAAGAAACCUGAGGAAAAUCCAGCUUCCAAGUUCAGUUCUGCAAGCAACUAUGCUGCUCUCUCUUGAUGGUGAAGAUGAAAAUGAGGGAGAAGAUUAUGCCGAAUAGACCUCUACAUCCUGUGCUUUUCUCCUAGUUUCUCUCCACCCUGGAACAUUCGAGAGCAAAUCAAAACCUCUAUCCAGACAAGACAAAAUAAAACUCACCAUCUCCUGAAGAUCUUUCUUACCUUUUUUUAAAAACAAAAAAUGAAACUAUUUUGCAUGCUGCUGCAGCCUUUAAAGUAUUGAAGUAACUGGAG